AUGGCGACGCCGUGGGACAGCUCCUCGAGCCGCCUGUGGGGCGCCCUGGGGCAGGCCUCCAGCGUGGCACAGCUGGUCGGCGUGGACGCGCUCGGGCUGGUCUCCAUGGUGGUGCAGGCCGCCCUGGCGGCGCGGCGCCACCGGGACGCCUGCGUGCAGCUCGCACAGCACGUCGAGCUCGUCGGGGGCCUGCUCGGGGAGCUGGAGCUCGACGAGCUGAUGCGGCGGGAGGCCACCAGGCGGCCGCUGGAGCAGCUCGGAGCCGCGUUGCGGCGGUGCUAUGCGCUCGCUACGGCGUGCCAGGACUGCGGCUACCUCCGCCGUCUGCUCCUGGGCGGACGGAUGGCCGACGAGCUCUGCGCCGCGCAGCACGAGAUCGACAUGUUCAUCCGCCUCAUCCCGCUCAUCGCCCUCGUUGACAAUUCGACAAAUACUCGCCGUGCCAUGGUCGAGGAGGGGGUGCUCAGUGUAGUCACAGAUAGUUCAAAUCAUCACAUCAGAUUUCCAGCAAGAGAUUUGGAGUUCACCAAAAUACGCGUUCAAGGAGCUACAGAACUUCGCAAUGUUCAAGAACAGCCAUUUGUAGGCAAAGUGGACCUGCAAGAGCAGAAAAUCUCCAACGUUGAAGAACUUAUGGAGCUUUGUGCCCAUAUAGAAGCGACUUGCAUGGGAUUCUCAAAGUUCAACUUCUUUCAGAUCAUGGAUGGUACAGGAAAUUUCUCAGAAAAGGCAAUAAUUGGACGGGGUGGAUUUGCCACGGUUUACAAGUGUGAGUUGUCCGAUGGAGUUACGGUUGCCAUCAAGAGAGCUCAUGAGUACGCAACACUCGGCAGUGAAUUGCAGCUUGCAAAGCUUCAACAUACCAAUCUGAUUAGGUUACUUGGGUGGUGCAUUCAUGAGAAAGAAAGGAUUCUAGUCUAUGAGUUCAUGCACAAUGGUUCCUUGGACCGUCACAUAUACGACAGAACAAAAGGGCCAUUGCUAGACUGGUCUAAGCGACUCAAGAUAAUCAAAGGGUUAAUAGAGGGGCUUGUUUACAUGCACAAAGGCUCCAUGUUAUGGAUUGUCAAUAGGGACUUGAAACCAAAUAAUAUCCUCUUGGAUUAUAACAUGAACCCAAGGAUUGCUGAUUUUGGAUCAGCUAGAGCACUGAGUUCAGAUGUAGCAGAAGAACAUACAAACAUGGUUGUGGGCACUUGUGGUUACAAAGCUCCGGAGUAUGCAUCUCGAGGAGUUUACUCAGUGAAGACGGAUGUGUUCAGCUUUGGCGUCUUGGUUCUGGCAAUCAUAAGCGGACGGAAGAAUACCAUACUCGAGAAACAAGGGGAUACUGUUGGUGACCUUGUACGCUACGCCUGGCAUAUGUGGAAGGACCAAAGAUUGCAUGAGCUUGUUGAUCCGUCUCUAGGGAACGGAUAUGAAAUCGCCGAGAUAACACGUUGUGCUCAGAUGGCACUCCUUUGUGCCCAGGAAGAUCCAGCAGAUCGGCUCACCAUGACAGAUGUUGCCACCAUGCUGAACUUUGAAAGCAUGAGCUUAUCAAUGGAGCCUAAGCAGCCUACAGUGCUGAGUAAAGUAAGUGAUGGUGAAAGCACGGCAUCUACAUACAUGGGCCAAUCAAGCAGGACAAUAGACAUAACCAUCACGAGCUCAGCUCCCAUGUCGACUAGAGUUCGAAUCGUUCUGAACCCGGAGGUUUGA
rnacentral:rRNA from 1 species